CUGUAAUGCUGAAAACCUCAAGCCAUGUGUAACCCAUGGGUGGCGUGGUUAGGAGUGCUACCACUCUUUAUCCUAUUAACUCAGGCAGCCCUCAAACCAGCAAUGCCUCCGGUGAUCAAGAGCCAGCCUUUCAACAUUUUCUGGGCAGCCCCAACAAUGUAUUGUAUGCCUUCCUUCAACGUGGAUAUAAAUCUUCAAGUAUUUAACAUUAUAUCAAAUCCUUUAGAGACUCAGAGUGGGUCAAAAAUUGCCAUAUUUUAUCCAAAUGAAUUAGGGUAUUACCCUUACUUAUCUCAAGAUGGAAAAUCCUUUAAUGGAGGAAUACCGCAGAAUGUGAGCCUUUCUGAACACCUUAGGAAAACUGCUGAUGACAUUGGAGAAGGUGUCCCUUGGUGGAGAUCAGAAGAACUUGUUGUUAUUGACUGGGAAAGUUGGAAACCCCAAUGGGAUAGAAAUCAGGGCAGCAGAAUAAUAUAUAAAAACCACUCUUUAGCCUUCACUAGAAACCAUCAUCCUUAUUGGUCAGAAAUGAAAGUGGAAACAGUUGCCCGAGAGGAAUUUGAAAAUGCUGGAAAAAAUUUCAUGAACAUUACUCUCACAUUGGCUUUAGAAAUGAGACCAAAAUGUUUAUGGGGCUUUUAUCUCUAUCCAGACUGCUACAAUUAUGAUUACAGAAUAAAUCCAGAGACGUACACAGGAGGACUUAGUGCAUGCAAUUGGCGAAAGUGCAGCAUUGGGGGCAGCAGGAGUAAUAUUGUGGGGAGGAUAUGAAUAUUCUGCUUCAAAGGAGAACUGCUUAUCUGUGCAGCAAUCUAUCCGAGGGCCUUUGGGCCAUUAUGCUGUGAAUGUGACAUCUGCAGCCAAGCUCUGCAGUCAGAGUCUAUGUAACAAUCAUGGAAGAGUAUUCGAAAAACACCUGAGUCCUCCUUCUAUCUGCAUAUGCCUGAAAGCAGUGUCAGGUCCCUCAGCUGCAGGUCUGUUGGAGUUUGCUGGAGGUCCAUUCCAGACCUUGUUUACCUGGGUAUCACCAGCGGAGGCUGCAGAACCGCAAGUAUUGCAGAAGAGCAAAUAUUGCUGAACAACAAAUAUUGCUGCCUGAUCCUUUCUCUGGAAGCUUCGUCCCAGAGGGCAGCCGCCUAUAUGAGUUGUCUGUCCACCUCUACUGGGAGGUGUCUCCCAGAUAGGCUACACGGGCAUCAGGGACUCACUUGAGGAGGCAAUCUGUCCUUUCUCAGAGCUCAAACGCGGUGCUGGGAGAACCACUGCUCUCUUCAGAGCUGUCAGACAGAGACGUUUAAGUCUGCAGAAGUUGUCUGCUGCCUUUUUUUGAGCUAUGUCCUGCCCACAGAGAUGGAGUCUAGAGGCAGUAGGCCUUGUUGAGCUGUGGUGGGCUCCACCCAGUUCGAGUUUCCUAGCUGCUUUGUUUACCUACUCAAGCCUCAGCAAUGGCGGACACCCCUCCCUCAGCCAGGCUGCUGCCUCACAGUUCAAUCUCAGACUGCUGUGCUAGGAGUGAGCAAGGCUCUGUGGGCGUGGGACCCACCGAGCCAGGCACGGGAAUCACCUUGUCUACUGGUUGCUAAGUCCUUGGGAAAAGCACUAUUUUGGUGGGAGUGUCCUGUUUUUCCAGGUAGUCUGUCACGGCUUACCUUAGCUAGGAAAGGGAAAUCCCCCAAUCUCUUACACUUCCUGGGUGAGGCGAUGCCCCCGCCUGCUUCAGCUCGCCCUCCUUGGACUGCACCCACUGUCCAACCAGUCCCAGUGAGAUGAACCAGGUACCUCAGUUGGAAAUGCAGAAAUCACCCGUCUUCUGCGUCGAUCAUGCUGGGAGUUGCAGACUGGAGCUGUUCCUAUUUGGCCAUCUUCCAGUUUCAAUAGUUCUUUAUUUUAUUUAUGCUAUCUAUUUCUUUUCCUUUUUUUUUUUUUUUUUUUUUUUUGAGAUGAAGUCUUACUCUGUUGCCCAGGCUAGAGUGUAGUGGUGUGAUCUCGGCUCACUGCAACCACUGCCUCCUGGGUUCAAGUGAUUCUCCUGACUUAACCUCCUGAGUAGCUGGGACUACAAGAGCAUGCCAUCAUGCCCAGCUAAUUUUUGUAUUUUUAGUAGAGAUGGGGUUUCACCAUAUUGGCCAGAAUGGUUUUGCAUUCCUGACCUCAAGUGAUCUGCCUGCCUCAGCCUCCCAAAAUGUUGGGUUACAGGGGUGAGCCACCGUGCCUUGCUAUUUAUGCCAUCUAUUUCACUGAAGAUUCCGCCUCUCAUUUCUUGAGUCAUUUUUUUUAAAUUUCCUUAAAUUGGACUUCACAUUUUUCUGAUGCCUCCUUGUUUAGCUUAAUAACUGACCUUCUGAAUUCUUUUUUAGGAAAAUCAGGAAUUUCUUCUUGGUUUGGAG
rnacentral:lncRNA from 1 species